AGGGCUGAAGAAUAAGCUAAAGAGGCAAGAAGGAGGAAAAGGGUGAGUUAACCUACUUCGAGGAAAGAUCCCAGGGAAUCCCAGACCCAUAGUUCAGGAUCGGCGAGGAUGAUCCUCUCGACAACCUCGGGCAGGAUGCACCCUUCGACCAGCCUCUUUAUCAAGUCCCUGUUGUUAAAGGGAUUUUCCCCCAGGUCUUCCUCAGAGCCGCCGACCCCCUCGGUGGCAGCCCUGUGACUGCGAC
rnacentral:lncRNA from 1 species